UACGAAGGGGGCUAGCGUUGCUCGGAAUCACUGGGCGUAAAGCGCACGUAGGCGGGUUGCUAAGUCAGGGGUGAAAUCCUGGAGCUCAACUCCAGAACUGCCUUUGAUACUGGCGGCCUUGAGUCCGGGAGAGGUGAGUGGAACUGCGAGUGUAGAGGUGAAAUUCGUAGAUAUUCGCAAGAACACCAGUGGCGAAGGCGGCUCACUGGCCCGGUUACUGACGCUGAGGUGCGAAAGCGUGGGGAGCAAACAGG
rnacentral:rRNA from 1 species